rnacentral:rRNA from 1 species
UAAGGAAUAUUGGACAAUGCCCGCAAGGGUGAUCCAGCCAUGCCGCGUGCAGGAAGAAGGCCCUAUGGGUCGUAAACUGCUUUUGAACUAGAGAAAACCCUUCUACGUGUAGAAGGCUGAUAGUAUAGUUAGAAUAAGCAUCGGCUAACUUCGUGCCAGCAGCCGCGGUAAGACGAAGGAUGCAAGCGUUAUCCGGAUUCAUUGGGUUUAAAGGGUGCGUAGGCGGCCUGAUAAGUCAGUGGUGAAAGCCUGUUGCUUAACAACAGAACUGCCAUUGAUACUGUCGGGCUUGAGUACAGAUGCUGUGGGCGGAAUAUGACAUGUAGUGGUGAAAUACAUAGAGAUGUCAUAGAACACCGAUUGCGAAGGCAGCUCACAAAACUGUAACUGACGCUGAGGCACGAAAGUGCGGGGAUCAAACAGG